UUGAACGCUGGCGGAAUGCUUUACACAUGCAAGUCGAGCGGCAGCGCGGGGCAACCUGGCGGCGAGCGGCGAACGGGUGAGUAAUGCAUCGGAACGUACCCAGUCGUGGGGGAUAACGAAUCGAAAGAUUCGCUAAUACCGCAUACGUCCUGAGGGAGAAAGCGGGGGAUCGCAAGACCUCGCGCGAUUGGAGCGGCCGAUGUCGGAUUAGCUAGUUGGUAGGGUAAAGGCCUACCAAGGCGACGAUCCGUAGCUGGUCUGAGAGGAUGAUCAGCCACACUGGGACUGAGACACGGCCCAGACUCCUACGGGAGGCAGCAGUGGGGAAUUUUGGACAAUGGGGGAAACCCUGAUCCAGCCAUUCCGCGUGAGUGAAGAAGGCCUUCGGGUUGUAAAGCUCUUUCAGACGGAAAGAAAUCGGGCGGGUGAAUAGCCUGCCUGGAUGACGGUACUGUCAGAAGAAGCACCGGCUAACUACGU
rnacentral:rRNA from 1 species